rnacentral:lncRNA from 1 species
UCUCUCUCCCUAAGUGCUUAGUCAGCAAAAAUAUCCACGUAUUAACAGAGUUAGUCCAAGUGGCAGGUCAGUUGACAGCAGGGGUACGGGUGGUCUACUUUUACUAACGUUAAGGGUACUUUUGGAAAAAAAAUAGUUUAGAGUGGAAGUGGGACAUCCGUGUAUAGUUCAGGAAUUUUUUUGGACCUUAUCCCUAUACUAUAAAAGUAUCAAGUGUCGAGUUCGGAUAAUACCCGCGUAGAAUCGAACUGCAUGGUGAAGUUGUAAUGGCACAUUUCGUAAAUUAUGGAUAAAUUGAGGUGACAAUUUAUGGUCUGCAUUUGAGUGAAGGUCCCAG